GUCAUACAUUCCAAACAGUAAACAUGUUUUAAAUAGUAUGGUGGAUGUAUCACAGAUUGUUGUUCUUAGGUUAAACAAUAUGAAACUAAAAGCCAGACACCAUAAAUAACAGAUAAGAUAACCUAUACCAAGCAUUAACAAUAUACCAUAGUGUGCAUACAUUGUCAAAUGAUAUGCAAAUGUGAGCUCGAAUUAAACGGUGGCAAUAUGAAAUCACAUUAUAUCAUACGGUUGGUUCUUAUGCUUGCGCAGCACACUCACACCAGAACAUUUCACUAUACAUUACUUUUGUUAAACAGUAUGGCAAAGAGUUGCACGUGUUUGUAAUUGUGAUCGACUUUAUUGAACAUGCAUCGUGGUUGUUUCUUUAUUUCUCGUCAAAUGUUUCACAAAGGUCUGUUAUCUAAAAAUCGCAAACUUAAUGAAAAUUGUACACGAGUAUUACUUUUUCUCUUUUCAAUUGUAUUUAUUAAUUGUAUUAUUAAUUGUUUAUAUAUAUAUAUAUAUAUUAUCUCUUUCCAAUUGUAUAUUUUUAUUUAUUUUUGCAAAAUAACUUUAACACUUGUAAUUGCAAAGCCAAAUAUUUUUACAAUAUUUUUUUCUAUUCGUAAGCUCUAUAAUAGUUUAAUUCAGUUGAUUGCAGCUUAACUUUGAAUGAAAAUUAAAAAAAAAAAAUCAAGAUUUUGAUUACAUUGAGCGUAUUAUAAGUUAGGACCUUCUCAAAUGUUACGCGAGAUUCGAAUAACAACAGUGAAAAUAAAUAACCAUCGUCGCGGAAAAACGUAAAUCCGAGAAACAAAUUUCACUAGUCCACUAAUAAAAUAACGAUGCAGCUUCCACCUAGAAGGAACCUCGGAAGGAACAGGAUCUUAUUGUCGCAGAAAAUCGUCGGAAGAUCGGUGCCGAAUAGGCCGAGAAUAGGCAAACUGACCUGAUUCGAAUCAGAUCCGACAACAUCCGUGACUACUUGGAACAGCGUUAUAAGGAGGAAUUGCUCACAGGCCGGAUAACCCGCUCGGAUUUGGUCAACCGAUUGUAGCAUCUAGGCUACUCUCACUGCAACGACGGUGCCAGCAAAAAAGGAAGAGCCAUCAGAGGAUAGUUCAGACGACCGCGAGGAAGAAUCCAGGUCAGCACCAGCGAAAUCUACAGCUGUAUCGAAGAAGUUCCACCAGUGAAACCUUGGUGAAUCUCCAAGUGUCCUGCUCUAAUUAACCGUUGCUGUCGCGGCUGCCAGCAACCAGCUUCAGCCAAGAAGAAAGACAAGUGGAGAUUCUAGUGAGGCGAAAUAAGUAAAGCCACCGGCAAAAUGAAGACAUAUUCUUCAAAGAAAAAUCUGGAAUCGUCCGACAUAGAUUCUUCGGAUUCCGACGCGAAACUCGAAGAGGAACCAGCCGACAAGAGGAAAAUAUGGCAAGGACUGAUAAGUGUCGGUUCAACAACUAUGCCGGUGUUCAGACGUGCGGUCAAUGAACGUAUGGUUUUAAGGUUUUAAGAACUCACCGGCUCGCGUACAAAAUGCUCUUGGAAACGCCAAACUCCAACGCCGAACAACAUGGAGAUGCCGAUGGUGCAAGUGAAGCUGGAUAAACUACUAAAUAACUAAUAAAACGACUAAUUAGAUGAGCAUCCAAAUUUAA